AUGUUGAAGAGCAAGGGGGCACAUGCUAUUUCAGACCCUGAUUCGUUUUCUCAGGCAAUGGCAAAGCUCCGUCAGCGUUAUGAUGAUCUGAAAGAGCGGUAUGCAGUUUCUGAUGUUACUGUUUCAGUACAGAACGUGGCUUCUCAGCUAGGCUACAGCAGCAUCGACUCUUUGAGCCUGGAGGACAUGGUCAUUGAGAGGGGUCAUCGAGGCUGCCCGCAACCCGAUGCCCUCCACGGACACCACCACCAUGAUGGCGGAAGGAAGAGUAAGAGGGGUCGUCGAGGCUGGGUGCCGCCGUGA
rnacentral:rRNA from 1 species